AGUGAACGCUGGCGUUAGGCCUAACACAUUCAAGUCGAACGUCAGCACAGUAAUAGCUUUCUCUUACGGGUUGCGAGUGUCUGACUGUUUAGGACUACCUCGGCAUCUACUUUUUCGUGGGGGAUAACGUAGGGAAACUUACGCUAAUACCGCAUCCUACCUACGUGUGAACGUAGGUGAUCUUCGGCCCUUGCGCGAUUGAAUUUGCCGAUGUCGUAUUAGCUAGUUGGCGGGGUAACGGCCCACCAAGGCGACGAUCCGUAGCUGGUCUGAGAGGAUGAUCAGCCACACUGGAACUGAGACACGGUCCAGACUCCUACGGGAGGCAGCAGUGGGGAAUAUUGGACAAUGGGCGCAAGCCUGAUCCAGACAGAACGCGUGGGUGAAGAAGGCCUUCGGGUUGUAAAGAACGUUUGUUGGGAAAGAAAAGCAGCAGGUUAAUACAGCGCUGUUAUGACGGUACCCAAAGAAUAAGCACCGGCUAACUUCGUG
rnacentral:rRNA from 1 species